ensembl:piRNA 21ur-4331 ncRNA
UUCAUGUCUUAAUUGCGUGGC